UGAGGGCGAGCCUGAUCAGCCAUGCCGCGUGCGUGAUGACGGCCUUCGGGUUGGAAAGCUCUUUUUAUGGGAAGAAAACCCCCCGGCGUAUACGCGUUGACUUGACCGUACCCAUAAAAAUCGGCCUCGGUCCAUUCCGUGCCCCCCGGCGCUGCGAUACGAA
rnacentral:rRNA from 1 species